GGCAGCUUGACUCUGACAAGGCCCUGCUGCCCAAUCUUUCGCUUGGCAGUGGGUGUGCAGGGGGCUGAAAUCUGACCCACCACGGGCCCAAGCACCUCAUGGUUAAGCCACAGCCACUAAGUGAGAAAACUGAUUUGAAUUCUGCCUUCACUGAUGGUACCUGCACGAUCGCCUGUUCUUCUUCAUCUACAGAUUCAGUGCACGGUGAUAAUGGGAAGGAUUUGAAAGUUCAUUUGAUGGAAGAAUCCUGCUUGCAUUGAAGAUGACUCUGCUGUCUGUAAGACGCUGUGACACUUCCUGGGAAUGGCCACUAACCAUCCUCCCAGCAGCAGUAACAGAGUUUGCUCCUGAAAUAUAAAGAAACAGCGUAGCGUGGGCCCCUCGCCAGAGCAAUGGAAGAAUCGUGAGGAUCUACGAUUUCAUUUUUCGGCAACGCCUCAUGCAUUACAACACGGCUACUUCAGCGCCAUCCCCGUCGGCCCUGCUUCUCCCGUACUCAGAGGUGCGCGGUCGGCGUCAGGCAGCAGGGGGAGCAAGUGUGCAAGCGGAGGGAAGAUGCUUCCGCGCACGUCUCAGCUCCUGUGUCCUUUAACAGGCCUGGGUGGGAAAAGUAUGUUUUUGUUUUGUUUUGUUUUGUU